CGGCGGACGGGUGAGUAACACGUGGAUAACCUACCUAUAAGACUGGGAUAACUUCGGGAAACCGGAGCUAAUACCGGAUAAUAUAUUGAACCGCAUGGUUCAAUAGUGAAAGACGGUUUUGCUGUCACUUAUAGAUGGAUCCGCGCCGCAUUAGCUAGUUGGUAAGGUAACGGCUUACCAAGGCAACGAUGCGUAGCCGACCCGAGAGGGUGAUCGGCCACACUGGAACUGAGACACGGUCCAG
rnacentral:rRNA from 1 species